rnacentral:rRNA from 1 species
GCGAGUUACGAUUUGAUGCAAGGUUAAGCAGUAAAUGUGGAGCCGUAGCGAAAGCGAGUCUGAAUAGGGCGUUUAGUAUUUGGUCGUAGACCCGAAACCAGGUGAUCUACCCUUGGUCAGGUUGAAGUUCAGGUAACACUGAAUGGAGGACCGAACCGACUUACGUUGAAAAGUGAGCGGAUGAACUGAGGGUAGCGGAGAAAUUCCAAUCGAACCUGGAGAUAGCUGGUUCUCUCCGAAAUAGCUUUAGGGCUAGCCUCAAGUGAUGAUUAUUGGAGGUAGAGCACUGUUUGGACGAGGGGCCCCUCUCGGGUUACCGAAUUCAGACAAACUCCGAAUGCCAAUUAAUUUAACUUGGGAGUCAGAACAUGGGUGAUAAGGUCCGUGUUCGAAAGGGAAACAGCCCAGACCACCAGCUAAGGUCCCAAAAUAUAUGUUAAGUGGAAAAGGAUGUGGCGUUGCCCAGACAACUAGGAUGUUGGCUUAGAAGCAGCCAUCAUUUAAAGAGUGCGUAAUAGCUCACUAGUCGAGUGACACUGCGCCGAAAAUGUACCGGGGCUAAACAUAUUACCGAAGCUGUGGAUUGUCCUUUGGACAAUGGUAGGAGAGCGUUCUAAGGGCGUUGAAGCAUGAUCGUAAGGACAUGUGGAGCGCUUAGAAGUGAGAAUGCCGGUGUGAGUAGCGAAAGACGGGUGAGAAUCCCGUCCACCGAUUGACUAAGGUUUCCAGAGGAAGGCUCGUCCGCUCUGGGUUAGUCGGGUCCUAAGCUGAGGCCGACAGGCGUAGGCGAUGGAUAACAGGUUGAUAUUCCUGUACCACCUAUAAUCGUUUUAAUCGAUGGGGGGACGCAGUAGGAUAGGCGAAGCGUGCGAUUGGAUUGCACGUCUAAGCAGUAAGGCUGAGUAUUAGGCAAAUCCGGUACUCGUUAAGGCUGAGCUGUGAUGGGGAGAAGACAUUGUGUCUUCGAGUCGUUGAUUUCACACUGCCGAGAAAAGCCUCUAGAUAGAAAAUAGGUGCCCGUACCGCAAACCGACACAGGUAGUCAAGAUGAGAAUUCUAAGGUGAGCGAGCGAACUCUCGUUAAGGAACUCGGCAAAAUGACCCCGUAACUUCGGGAGAAGGGGUGCUCUUUAGGGUUAACGCCCAGAAGAGCCGCAGUGAAUAGGCCCAAGCGACUGUUUAUCAAAAACACAGGUCUCUGCUAAACCGUAAGGUGAUGUAUAGGGGCUGACGCCUGCCCGGUGCUGGAAGGUUAAGAGGAGUGGUUAGCUUCUGCGAAGCUACGAAUCGAAGCCCCAGUAAACGGCGGCCGUAACUAUAACGGUCCUAAGGUAGCGAAAUUCCUUGUCGGGUAAGUUCCGACCCGCACGAAAGGCGUAACGAUUUGGGCACUGUCUCAACGAGAGACUCGGUGAAAUCAUAGUACCUGUGAAGAUGCAGGUUACCCGCGACAGGACGGAAAGACCCC